CUGUGGACACGAGCGGAUGACUGCUGAGGAUUUUAUUGACCGUGAUCACCUGACUACUUCAGUGCCUCACCAGCGGGGUCAUAACCGCAACAGCAUCCGUGACGAACGGCUUAACACACUACUCUAUCCUCACUGUGCAGCAAUCCCGGCACACACGUAGCUGAGACUGAUACACAACGCCUCAUUACCUUGAGGCCGGGCAUAGAGGAGGGCACUGUCCUUGGGUAACUACCGCUUGCCAGCAUGCAGGACAGUGUCACCUGAGGAUGGCCUCACGACAAACAAGCAAGUGAUCCUUGUAAGGUGGAGAUGCACCCACCACUAUCACAACCACCACCACAACCACCACCAUCACUUCAGCAAGGUGGUGUGGUGAGGAGGGCCCUUCCUAAAAUCUCGCCAUGAAUCGCGGUAAUGUGCCAGUCGCUCCCAGGUCACACGCACAGUGGAGUUCAAACAGUGAUCCAGUCUUCACACCCGCGCAGUAAAACCAUGGAGCUAAAUAAUGACAGAAAUCCGGUGACUGACAAAAGUGACACGACCUACACAGUCCAGUCUGUCGUCCACACAUUCAACUUAACGCUUCCUUUCGGAUUAGGACACACGUAUUAUUUUAUUUUUGUUAUUGUUUUCAUUAUCCUCUAUUCUAGCUGGGAACCAGUUCAUGUCCAUCCCAUUUUUUGGACACACUAAUGCGAGUCCCGCCUGCUCAUCACCUCACUGUGAGAACCGUUUUUAUUGCAUUGUACUUUUUAUUCAUUUAAAUACUUAAUUCACGUUGCCCUGCAUCCUUUUUUUCCUUUCACUGUAUAAAAAUGUAAAAGUUACUGACAAAAUGACGGUUUUUAUUUGGAAUAGUAUAUAUAGAAUGAGAGGACGUAAAUCAAAAUUUCGUUUCAGAACCGAAAGAAACGAGUUCAAGAUUUGUUUGUUUUUGUUAAUGUCAGUGCGGCUGUUUGUUUAAGUUUUGAAUUCGAAAAUCGAAUUUUGGCCUGAGGUUUAGAAUAUUUCGCCCAAAUCUCAUUUGCAAUCGGACGACGGACCGCUUCCCAACUGUGAGUCCUGGAAGAUAUCCAUGAGUCUUAACAAAAUAAAAGCUAUAUUGCAUACAUCUGGCUGUAUUAUUAUGUUAUAAAUAGGUGUAAUUUUAUACAUCCUCCUCAUGCAUACUAAUAGGCGAUCAGAU